rnacentral:rRNA from 1 species
UACGUAGGGGGCAAGCGUUGUCCGGAAUCAUUGGGCGUAAAGCGCGCGUAGGCGGCCCGGUAAGUCCGCUGUGAAAGUCAAAGGCUCAACCUUUGAAUGUCAGCGGAUACUGCCAGGCUAGAGUCCGGAAGAGGCGAGUGGAACUCCUGGUGUAGCGGUGGAAUGCGCAGAUAUCAGGAAGAACACCAACGGCGAAGGCAGCUCGCUGGGACGGAACUGACGCUAAGGCGCGAAAGCGUGGGGAGCGAACAGG